CCACGCGAUGGGCAACGGGCCGGGGUCGCUGGUCGACUACCAGCGGAUCCUCGAGGGGUACGAGCGGUUCUGUGGCGGCUUCGUCUGGG
rnacentral:tRNA from 1 species